UACAUCUGAUUUGUGGAAGAGGCUGAAAAUCUCGGAGAGGUUGUUGUCAUCAGCUUCAUCACUUGUUUCUACGAGAUGGGAGUUAAGUAGACACUAAAUCC